UUGAACGCUGGCGGCAGGCCUAACACAUGCAAGUCGAGUGGAUGAAGGGAGCUUGCUCCUGGAUUCAGCGGCGGACGGGUGAGUAAUGCCUAGGAAUCUGCCUGGUAGUGGGGGAUAACGUCCGGAAACGGGCGCUAAUACCGCAUACGUCCUGAGGGAGAAAGUGGGGGAUCUUCGGACCUCACGCUAUCAGAUGAGCCUAGGUCGGAUUAGCUAGUUGGUGGGGUAAAGGCCUACCAAGGCGACGAUCCGUAACUGGUCUGAGAGGAUGAUCAGUCACACUGGAACUGAGACACGGUCCAGACUCCUACGGGAGGCAGCAGUGGGGAAUAUUGGACAAUGGGCGAAAGCCUGAUCCAGCCAUGCCGCGUGUGUGAAGAAGGUCUUCGGAUUGUAAAGCACUUUAAGUUGGGAGGAAGGGCAGUAAGUUAAUACCUUGCUGUUUUGACGUUACCAACAGAAUAAGCACCGGCUAACUUCGUG
rnacentral:rRNA from 1 species